CCUACGGGGGGCAGCAGUGAGGAAUAUUGGUCAAUGGGCUUACGCCUGAACCAGCCAAGUCGCGUGAGGGAAGACGGCCCUACGGGUUGUAAACCUCUUUUGUCGGGGAGCAAAGCGAGUCACGUGUGACUCAUUGAGAGUACCCGAAGAAAAAGCAUCGGCUAACUCCGUGCCAGCAGCCGCGGUAAUACGGAGGAUGCGAGCGUUAUCCGGAUUUAUUGGGUUUAAAGGGUGCGCAGGCGGAGGUGCAAGUCAGCGGUCAAAUUGCGGGGCUCAACCUCGCUCCGCCGUUGAAACUGGCGUUCUUGAGUGGGCGAGAGGUAUGCGGAAUGCGUGGUGUAGCGGUGAAAUGCAUAGAUAUCACGCAGAACUCCGAUUGCGAAGGCAGCAUACCGGCGCCCAACUGACGCUGAAGCACGAAAGCGUGGGUAUCGAACAGGAUUAGAUACCCGAGUAGUC
rnacentral:rRNA from 1 species